AACUAGAAAAUCCUUUUCCUUGUGUUGCACAAGCACCAUGCUAAAUCCCUUGUUCGUCGUGAUAGAAGAUGGGGAUGCUGCAAAGGCUACAGACCACUCCACUUUCAAAGUAUCAAAAACCAAAGUUUCCGAGUGUCGUUUUUUUCGGCUACCACCUCCUGCUAUGUACCAUUUAGUUCCACAUAAAACUCCACAACAACCAGCCCUAGGAGAUGGAUGGAAACCUCGUAUCUUUAUUCUUGACCAACCCAUCG
rnacentral:misc_RNA from 1 species